CUUGGUCAUUUAGAGGAAGUAAAAGUCGUAACAAGGUUUCCGUAGGUGAACCUGCGGAAGGAUCAUUAUCGAAAUUAUUGGUGAGGGUUGUAGCUGGCCUUUCGAGGCAUGUGCACGCUCGAGCCCUUAAUCCACUUUACACCUGUGCACUUAAUGUAGGUCGCCCUUAAAAAAGGUGACCUAUGUCUUAUCAUCAACCCAUCGUAUGUCUCAUAGAAUGUAAUCGAUAUCCUCGCCCUAAAAAAGCGUUGAUAAACUUAUACAACUUUCAACAACGGAUCUCUUGGCUCUCGCAUCGAUGAAGAACGCAGCGAAAUGCGAUAAGUAAUGUGAAUUGCAGAUUUUCAGUGAAUCAUCGAAUCUUUGAACGCACCUUGCGCUCCUUGGUAUUCCGAGGAGCAUGCCUGUUUGAGUGUCAUUAAAUUCUCAACUCCAAGGGUUUCACGACCUUUCGGAGAUUGGACUUGGAGGUGCUGGCCGCAUAUUGGUCGGCUCCUCUCAAAUGCAUCAGCGGAAUUCAACCUUUGGCUUCCGGAUGUCAGUGUGAUAAUCAUGUUGCGCUGUCGUUUGAUCCCUCAGAGUCCGCUUAUAAUGGUCUUCGGACAAAAUCAUCAUCAAAUUUGACCUCAAAUCAGGUAGGACUACCCGCUGAACUUAAGCAUAUCAAUAAGCGGAGGA
rnacentral:rRNA from 3 species